rnacentral:misc_RNA from 1 species
GAGAAGCAGAUCUUACUCUGUUUUUGAGUUUUUUCAUUGAUUCCUGUGCAAGAGAAGCAGAUUUUACUCUGUUUUUGAGUUUUUUCUGUUGUUAUUAUUAUUAUUGGUUGAGUAUAUUUCUGUGCAGCUCAUUGUCAUCUUUCUGGGUGGAUAUAAAAUUUCAAUCCGAUCUUGGUUUGAAGACAGUUUUAAUGUUAAUAACCUAACAAUUUUUUUUAACUCAGCCCAGAAUUCCAAACCAAACAAACUGUUCUGUCAUCUAACCCAUGUUUUCGUGUGUUUGGAUGCUUAAAUGAGUGCUUUGUUGUCGUAAUCCAUGUUGGGGGUUCACCUUUAAGUAUCUAAUUUCAGCUGCAAUCACUAUUUCAGCAACAGAAUUUGUCAGAAAGAGAAGACAACGUGAUGCAAUUUGAGAUAUGUUUUUCACAGU